CCGGAUGACGGUCCUAUGGAUUGUAAACUGCUUUUAUACAGGAAGAAACACCUCUACGUCUAGAGACUUGACGGUACUGUAAGAAUAAGGAUCRGGCUAACUCCGUGCCAGCAGCCCCGGUAAUACGGAGGAUCCAAGCGUUAUCCGGAAUCAUUGGGUUUAAAGGGUCCGUAGGCGGUUAGAUAAGUCAGUGGUGAAAGCCCAUCGCUCAACGGUGGAAAUGGCCAUUGAUACUGUCUGACUUGAAUUAUUAGGAAGUAACUAGAAUAUGUAGUGGUAGCGGUGAAAUGCUUAGAGAUUACAUGGAAUACCAAUUGCGAAGGCAAGUCAC
rnacentral:rRNA from 1 species